rnacentral:rRNA from 1 species
GAACACCAAUUGCGAAGGCAGGUCACUAAGAUUUAACUGACGCUGAUGGACGAAAGCGUGGGGAGCGAACAGGAUUAGAUACCCUGGUAGUCCACGCCGUAAACGAUGCUAACUCGUUUUUGGGGUUUCGGCUUCAGAGACUAAGCGAAAGUGAUAAGUUAGCCACCUGGGGAGUACGUUCGCAAGAAUGAAACUCAAAGGAAUUGACGGGGGCCCGCACAAGCGGUGGAUUAUGUGGUUUAAUUCGAUGAUACGCGAGGAACCUUACCAAGACUUAAAUGGGAGUGGACAGGCUUAGAAAUAGGCUCUCCUUCGGGCCGCUUCCAAGGUGCUGCAUGGUUGUCGUCAGCUCGUGCCGUGAGGUGUUAGGUUAAGUCCUGCAACGAGCGCAACCCCUGUCACUAGUUGCUAGCAUUAAGUUGAGGACUCUAGUGAGACUGCCUACGCAAGUAGAGAGGAAGGUGGGGAUGACGUCAAAUCAUCACGGCCCUUACGUCUUGGGCCACACACGUAAUACAAUGGCCGGUACAGAGGGCAGCUACACAGCGAUGUGAUGCAAAUCUCGAAAGCCGGUCUCAGUUCGGAUUGGAGUCUGCAACUCGACUCUAUGAAGCUGGAAUCGCUAGUAAUCGCGCAUCAGCCUGGCGCGGUGAUACGUUCCCGGCCUUGUACACCCGCC